rnacentral:lncRNA from 1 species
UGUCUUCAGAUGGAUGAAUACAAGGUACAUAUAUGUGCAUGCAGGUGCCAAUAGAGAACAAAAGGGAUCCCUGGAGCUGGAGUUGUAGGUGAUUGCAAACCGCAGGGCAGGUGCUGGGAACCAAACUCCAGGACUCUGCAAAAGGAGCAAACACUUAACCACCGAGACACGUCCGCGGCCUUGGUCGGUUCACAGCCAUUUUCUGGUUGGUUUCUGAAGCAUUACUAAAUUGUGCAAAGGUAAAUAUAGUCUUAAAAGGUC